rnacentral:misc_RNA from 1 species
AAGUUGCUUUCGUCUUGUGUCAUCUCGGUGGCAUAAGAUGAACCUUGAAGCCRUCUCUUUGCACCGCAUCGUUAAUGCUUGCGUUGAUGUUGUGGCCCAUUGAGCAUUGCUUGGUACCUUGGAUAYGGAACCUGAUGUGGGCAUGGGUCCUUAGGGAUCCUUGUUCUGCCCUCGUUUAGCGUUCGCGCUUCUCUUAGAAUGACUGCCCAGCCGGUAUGGCAAGCCAUUGCGGAUGGGCAUCGUCAAAGAGGAAUGC